UUUAUUAUUAUUAUUAUUUUUUAUUUGAAUUUUCAACUAGGUUAAAUUUUUAAAGGUAGCGUUUGGCUCGGAAAACAAAAAGGAGAAUAAACCGUUGUUCCUCUUUUUGUUUCCAAACAUCAAUUUUAGAAAUCAGAAACAGUAGUUUUCGAAUUUCUGAAAUAAACUGGUAUAAGGUUGGAAAGGCUGUUUCACCUUUUAUCUGGAACAAACUUGUUCUCGGAUGAGAACAAGAUUAAUUAAAGUAUAAAUUUAAUUUAAUGACAAUAAAUCAUUAAUUAAUCUAAUUAAUAUAUUUAAAUUAUUAUUUAUUGCUUAAAUAAUAAAAUAAUAAAUUAAUUUAUUAUUUAUAGUUAAUUAUUAAUAAUUAUAUAAUUAUUAUUAUUAUUAAUUUAUUAUUUAUAAUUAAUUAUUAAUAAUUAUUACUAUUUAUUAUUCUUAAUAUUUUGAUAAUCAACAUUAUUAUUAAUUUAUGAUUUAUGAUUAAUUAUUAAUAAUUUAUUUAUUAUUUAUUUUUAAGUAAUAUUUUGAUGUUAAUUAAUUAGAUAAUAUAAUUUUAAUUUUAAAUUAUAAUUCUUAUUCCUCUGGUUCUAAUCUAAUCAUUCAAAUACUAUUUUUUUUAUUUCUAGGAAUAACCUAAUUUUUAUUCAAACGCAAAAUUGGUUUAGUUCAUACUUAUACUUAAACUUAUAUCUAUCCCUGUAAUUAGUAAUUUUUAUUUAUACCUGAACCAAACGCAGCAAAGAGUAUAGGAUCCACGUGAUUUUAUACAUUUAUUAAGUUUUCCAUUGAGUUGCAGAUAAGUCUGUUAGAUUCAAUAAGUUUAAUAAAAUUCAAUAAUUAAACUAAAAUAAUUAUUACUGCAUAAGCUAGGUUCGGACAUAGUUAUUUUCUAGUAAAUGACCAGUGCGUUGUACAGAAUUAGAACAAAAUAUUUUAUAAUAAUAAUUAAAUAUAUAAAAUUUAUAAAUAUGCUUUGUUGAAAAAUAAACUUUAAUAUUUUACUAUUAUUUGGUUUAGAAAGAUGAGAGUUAUAUAAUUAUUUAAAAAUGUUUUAAUAAAAAUAUAGGUCAAUCUAUUAUUUUAAUAAUUAAAAAAAUAGUAUAAUAAAGAUAUACAGAAAAUAAUACAAAAGAUGGUGAAAAUAAUAAUAAUAAUAAUAAUAAAAUG
rnacentral:lncRNA from 1 species